rnacentral:rRNA from 1 species
CUACACUUGACAUGCCUCUUGGGACUUUCAGAGAUGAUUGUCUUCGGUUCGGCCGGGGAGUGCACAGGUGCUGCAUGGCUGUCGUCAGCUCGUGUCGUGAGAUGUUGGGUUAAGUCCCGCAACGAGCGCAACCCUUAUCGUAUGUUACCAGCAUUUAGUUGGGGACUCAUGCGAGACUGCCGGUGAUAAGCCGGAGGAAGGCGGGGACGACGUCAAGUCAUCAUGGCCCUUACGUGUAGGGCUAGAAACGUGCUACAAUGGUGGUGACAAUGGGCAGCGAGGUCGUGAGGCCAAGCUAAUCCCUAAAAGCCAUCUCAGUUCGGAUUGUAGUCUGCAACUCGACUACAUGAAGUUGGAAUCGCUAGUAAUCGGAAUCAGCAUUGCUGCGGUGAAUACGUUCCC